rnacentral:misc_RNA from 1 species
GAAAUGCGAUAAGUAAUGUGAAUUGCAGAAUUCAGUGAAUCAUCGAAUCUUUGAACGCACAUUGCGCCCGCCAGUAUUCUGGCGGGCAUGCCUGUCCGAGCGUCAUUUCAACCAUCAAGCCCCCGGGCUUGUGUUGGGGACCUGCGGCUGCCCGCAGGCCCUGAAAACCAGUGGCGGGCUCGCUGUCACACCGAGCGUAGUAGCAAUCACCUCGCUCAGGGCGUGCUGCGGGUUCCGGCCGUUAAACAGCCUUACAAAACCCAAGGUUGACCUCGGAUCAGGUAGGAAUACCCGCUGAAGUUACGC